GGUCUUGUCUGGCUAACUCGCAGGUAGUUGUCUUAGUGGGGGUGCACCGGUCGACAGGGGUCGAGCGGGGGUGCGGGCGAGCGGGCGAGCGGGGUCGGGGAGGGUGUGACGGAAGAAGAAGAAGACGUGCGGUCUUCCUCCCUGUAGGUUGUCUUAGCGGGGGUCGGGAAGAAGGAGGAGGAUGUGUCAGCAGUACCCUCGGGGUUUCAUCUUCUUCCUCGACGAAGUUUUUUCUUCUAGAUUCCCGUCCCACCAGUUUCGGUAUGGUUCGUCGUCGUAGUUCAUCAACGUCCAUGUCCAAUACGCUACUAGUACUGUGCUCUCGCUACGAACGAACGCAACUCAAGAAGAAGACGAAGAAGCUAGUCCCCUAUCCAAGGUCCAGCCGUCGGACCCGAUCGUCCCACCUACAGCAAACUCAAAGACAAACACAAAGUAGACAUCAGCCUACUACGAGAUUACAUAAUACUACAACAUAGGCACACCGUAACAUACGGAGAACAUACAUAGGGGUAUAUAAUACAUUACAACUACAUUG
rnacentral:rRNA from 1 species